GGGUUCGAGUUAGACCGGCGGGAGAAUAGAGAAUCGGGUGCAAAUCCCGAACGGUACCGCCACUGUAAGCGCGGAGGCCGCACGGAAAGACGAAAGUCGGUCAUUGGAGGAAGCUCUGAGAAGGCUGCGUGCAGGCUGUCGAUGCGCAAGUCAGGAGAACUGCUGCGCCA
rnacentral:ncRNA from 1 species